rnacentral:rRNA from 1 species
GUGGAUUAGAUACCCUGGUAGUCCACGCCGUAAACGAUGGAUACUUGUUGUUGGAGGUAUUGACCCCUUCAGUGACGAAGCUAACGCGUUAAGUAUCCCGCCUGGGGAGUACGGUCGCAAGAUUAAAACUCAAAGAAAUUGACGGGGGCCCGCACAAGCGGUGGAGUAUGUGGUUUAAUUCGAUGCAACGCGAAAAACCUUACCUGGGUUUGACAUGAACUGGAAGAGUGGCAGAGAUGUCCUCGCUCGCAAGAGUCGGUUCACAGGUGCUGCACGGCUGUCGUCAGCU